rnacentral:lncRNA from 1 species
AUGGAACUUGGCCUAUCAUUGAUGCAAGGCAGGAAAGAAAGCCAACCUAGAUAUCUAUCAACUGAUGAAUGAAUAAUAAAAAUACGGUACAUUUACACAGUGGAAUAUUAUUCAGAAGUUAAGAAAAAAAUGAAACUGCAGAUACCUGUGUAUACAGGUCAAGCCUCUGAAUGUCAUCAGAUAUCAUUGUCCUGCCUCCAGUGUCCUGCUAAGCUGCCUUCCAGAUGCCUGCUCCAACAAGACAGGGAAGAAGAUAAGGAGAGCGCAAUCAAAAACUGUACACAGAAAAACUGGGUUCUUAGAACACACACAAAGAAACAUGAAACUGGAAACAAAGGACUGGAUCAUCAACUACAGCUUGUCACCAAACUGCCUUCUGCUAAACUUCCAGGAAAAAUACCUACCAUAUUGGGCAUAAGUAUAAAUUAUUAUUUAAACUUAGCAGAAAAAAAAUCUUCAUUAAUUUUUCUACAAGGCCCAUGUAUGUUUCUUGAAGGAGCCCAAGUGGCCUUGAACCCCAAUGUCUACAGCUAUUGUCUUCCAAAAAUCCAGCUUCUUAAGUAUUCUCCCUCUAACUUGCUCUCAGCAAAAUCCUCUCUCAUGAGACUGUGGGAUAAAUAAAUAAGGUAAAGGAGAGUGGAGUGGAGCUGCCGACGAUGUCCAUACAGUAAUAGGGCUGUAUGCUCCCGAGGUGCUGGAAGAAAACAGCGGAAACAGAAUACCACCAGCGAUGUUGAGACUUGCAAGAGAAAAGUGCAUUGUCAAGCAGCAUAACUUCUUAAUCUGGGGAUGAGAAAACGGGCGUGU